rnacentral:tRNA from 1 species
GAGGGUAGAGCUCGGUGGUAGAGCGUGUGCUCAACAUGCGUAAGGUCCUGGGUUCGAUCCCCAGUACCUCA